rnacentral:rRNA from 1 species
UACGGAGGGUGCAAGCAUUGAUCGGAAUUACUGGGCGUAAAGGGCGCGUAGGCGGCCGAGAAAGUCAGAUGUGAAAUUCCGGGGCUCAACCCCGGAGCUGCAUUUGAAACUUCUUGGCUAGAGUGCAGUUAGGGAAACGGAAUUCCACGUGUAGCGGUGAAAUGCGUAGAUAUGUGGAAGAACACCGGUGGUGAAGACGGUUUUCUGGGCUGUAACAGACGCUGAGGCGCGAAAGCUAGGGGAGCAAACAGGAUUAGAAA